UUAGAGUGUGGGAUUCCAACCUA
rnacentral:siRNA from 1 species